rnacentral:rRNA from 1 species
GUGAGGCCUUCGGACUGGCCCAGGGAGGUCGGCAACGACCACCCAGGGCCGGAAAGUUGGUCAAACUCGGUCAUUUAGAGGAAGUAAAAGUCGUAACAAGGUCUCCGUAGGUGAACCUGCGGAGGGAUCAUUA